UAAAUUCAGGUUGGGCUGGGCGGCA
rnacentral:piRNA from 1 species